UACCAAGAGGAGAUCUGAUCUUCAUACUUUUACGUGGAUCGAUCUACACUACAGUCGAUGAUCGUGGAUGUCUGAAUUUUUUAAGCCGCACAGCGUCUAGCCUCUACAGAUAUCCACACGAGAUUUUGAUCUGAUCAGAGGCUCUUUGAUCUCUCUAGGGUGCUAAUUCUCUUGCAGAGAUCGCUUUCUGAUGGUUGAUUGAAGAUCUCCUUCAAAUCUCUCAGAUCCUCUUAGAGAAGAAGAAGAUUAGGAGGAAGAAGAUGAGGAAGAUGAAGAAGAGAACUCUUCUCUUUUUCUCUCUCAUAAAAACCCAUGCCAC
rnacentral:lncRNA from 1 species